UUAAGCUGGAGUGCAGUGGUACCAUCUUG
rnacentral:piRNA from 1 species